rnacentral:lncRNA from 1 species
UCGUAAUUAUAGUUAGUUUAGUAACCAUCAAGUUUUUGGCGCCGUUGCCGGGGACUAAAAUAUUAGGAACACUCGAUUUUUAUUAAUUUAGCCAUUUUUUAUUUUUAUUGCAUUUUAUUUUUAUUUUUUUAUUUUUGUUUUCUAUUUUUUUUUUCUUUUAUUUGUUUCUGGCAGGUUCCUUUAAUUUAUGACUAGAAGAAACUCGUUAGGACCUUUAGUAUUUGAUAGUGAAAUUGAAAGUACAGCUCGCAGAAACCGUAGAAAAGCA